rnacentral:rRNA from 1 species
AACGAACGCUGGCGGCGCGCCUAAUACAUGCAAGUCGAGCGAGAAGACGUAGCAAUACGUUUGUAAAGCGGCGAACGGGUGAGGAAUACAUGGGUAACCUACCCUCGAGUGGGGAAUGACUAGCCGAAGGUUAGCUAAUACCGCGUACGCUCCUUGGACUUCGGUUCAGGGAGGAAAGCGAUACCGUGGGUAUCGCGCUCUUGGAUGGGCUCAUGUCCUAUCAGCUUGUUGGGAGGUACGGCUCACC